GGGAAAAAAAGCGUCGAUAGACGAGAUCCGUGAUGGGUGGGGUGUGGAUCGUCGUCGGUCGGUCUUCCCCCCUGGAGUAGGCCGUUCGUUGCCGUUUCGGCGGUGCGUACGACAACAAACCUUGGGCACAGGGCGUGCCAAGCAGCAUGCGUAGCGCACGCGGGGUCGCGUGCACGAUACCGUUUGUUCUCCUACAAGACUCUCGGCAACGGAUAUCUAGGCCCUUGCAUCGAUGAAGAACGUAGCGAAAUGCGAUACUUGGUGUGAAUUGCAGAAUCCCGUGAAUCAUCGAGUCUUUGAACGCAAGUUGCGCCUGAAGUCGUUAGACCGAUGGCAUGCCUGCCUGGGCGUCAUGAAUCCGGUCGCUCCAAACCACACGUCGGUACGGAAGCGGAGGAUGGCCCUCCACCGGUUGGAGUGGUGGGCUGAAGUACGUUGGCUCGAUUCAGGCGGGGACGCAGCAUGGAUGGUGGAUGGCAAAUCACGGUCCGUCAUCGUUCGAUGCUUGCUUCCCUUGGAUCGCCAACGCGACGACCCUUCGGGACGGGUGGGAUCGCCGUCCGUCCGAUCGCGACCUCAGGUCAGGCAAGAUCACCUGCUGAGUUUAAGCAUAUCAAUAAGCCGGAGGAAA
rnacentral:rRNA from 1 species